UAUAACAAGGGGAGCUUUUGCUGAGAGUUAUCGCAUUCGCGAUAUGACCCUCCGAACCUGAAACGGAUAAUGCCGGCGCAGGGAUGUUAUACAGU
rnacentral:ncRNA from 1 species